AAUCGCAAGUGCCAUGUUCUCUCUGGGCUAACAACAAAAUACGUUAUCCUUUGCUGCGUAUUUAACACGUAACUUACAGAGAAAACUGAACCCUCGGCUAAAUGUUCGCACUUUUACUUGGCUGGGUUAAGUUGAGGUCCUGGGGUCUUGAGUUCGGUGGUUCCGAGAAGAAUAGAAAUUGAAAUCAGUGUUGGAAGUGAUAUACGAAACCGUGGUUUUACCCUGAUAGAGCUUCUUCUUGCGUCCUAUUUCUGUUUCUGACGCCUAAAACUUUCUUCAAUAAUGGCGAACGAGCAGCAGUUAUUUCGACCUUGGUUCCUUGACCAAGUACCUUUUGUGGUGGUUGUCUUAAUAGCAGCUCAUGUCCUCGCUUUGGUAUACUGGAUUUACAGAUUAGCAACUGAGAGACAACCCCAGAGGAGAAAGGCUCACUAGGAACAGAUUUACCUGUUGAACAUUGAAGCCGAACUGUCGAAGGUUGGUGAACGAUAAUUGAUCUGCCGGAAAUCCUGAUCAGUUAUCAAGCUAUGAUCGUUGUUACUGUUAUCAAUAGAUAGCGAAACUACCCUUGAUUCUGUUGUCAUUGAUCAAAGCACUUAUAACUUGAAAUGCUGGAAUUGGACUGGUUUGAAUUUUAAAUCAAUACUGACGAGUUUACGUGUUGUUUUCAUCAAGUGAUUAUGCGCCUCAUAUCAUUGGGAUUUUGAUUAAUGGUUCAUGCGGAUUGGAAUUGAGAAGUUCAUUGAUUUCAACUUAGUUAUCUUAAGCUUAUGACUAGAGUUAUCUGCUAAAUUUUAACGAAUAUAAUACUCUGCAAAGGUUUAUUUCUCUGUCAUUAUAAUUUUACUAAUGCCAUUCAGUAAUUGCUGAUUCAUAGGGACGUCGUGUGAAAUUGCUUGGAAUUAUUUUUUGUUGUCUGUAUAGUCAUGUUGGACCAAUUGGAAUUUGAUUAUUCUGACGUUAGAAUCCAUCUUUUGCCUAUGUGCCUAAUGGUUUUAGUUUUCUCUGGAAUCUAAUGAUACAGCUUUAAAGUCAUUGAGAUCGUAAGUUCAUAACUCUUCUCUCUUAUAUAUGUUAUAUUGGGCUGUCACUGUCAGACAUAAAGAUGAAUGUGUCCAUGUGAAAUGAUAUGAAACAUGCAUGAGUGAACAGGAAAUCCUAAAGCAAUAGGUAGGGUGAAAGAUAUAAACAAAUUUGAAAUAUGAUUCAAUAUUACUGAAUACUCUUUACAGUAAGUUAAAUUCUUAACUUGGUUGUGUAUUUUGCCCAAAGGAAACAGUUUCCUUGGAAAAAUAGGUUAGCUGCAAUUGAAUUCAUUUUUUGUGCUGCCUCAUUGCUGUUAUGUUACUUUUUAUCUUUAUUUGCUGUGAACCUGGGAAGAUUGCCACCUCCUUCCGAAAUAUAGGUGUUUAUAAGUUAACGUGGACUGGAAUUCUCUAAAUUUCAUUUGAAACCCAGUAAAGUUCAAUAAGUCUCCACCCUUCAAUUCAACAAUUUUUUUCCGAGUGAAUGUUGCGAUGUGUCUUCAUAUCAGGUUGGCCAAAGUCUCAGUUUUAUUUAUCUUCAGUUUUACUUCUUUACACAGUUGCUGCAGUGACGGAGUGCUCUUAUCAAAUAUUAUGCAAAGGCAGUGAGGAAAAGCUACUGGUUGUAAGAUAGAAACCAACUCAGUAUACGUUAAUAUAUAUUCCACCGCAUUGUUCAGUUUUGCCAUUUUUAUUAUCCAAUUAUCUUCCGUGCUAGCUUUUAAAAAGCUUCUCCUUUAUCACUCUGAACUCUUACCAUCAUUCAUGAUCUGCAGGCUUUGCCUCACUCUCUGUUUCUUUCAUGAUCCAUUGAAACCAAUUGAACUUUUGAGUUCCAGGGCUUUGAUGGUUUUUUUUUCCUUGUGCAGUCCUCUCUUUGGAUUUUUAUUUUUAUGCUCUUCGAGAUCCUCUCCACGUCAUUUGUUUUUUAUGGUGGCAAUGGAAGCAAAAUCCUCUUUUUGAGGAUGCACGCAAAUAACCGUUGAAUGUGAGCUAAGCAAAGAAUAAACAUGAAUAUAAAAAAGGUAUUUGAUGAUAGCAGCGACACGGUAAACAAAAUCAAAGAUGAAUAAAUGGCGAGUUUUUGUCAAACCUUGUAUGCUUAUGUGGAAUAACAUUGACUGUGGAUGAAAGUUUGUUGAUGAACGGUGAAGAUUCAGAAAAUUUACUGGGUAAAUUUCCUACGAAAUUUAGAGAAUCUCUAUCCAAUACGCACGCACGCACGCACACAAACUUGAAUGCAGAUGGAAUUUUCUCUUAUAUAUUGCCUUCUGCUAAUAAUUGAUAGGGAAUGUGAUAUUAUAAUAUUGUUCACUUAUUUCCUCAUAUCAAUUGUUAUGCUAAUUGGAUUUAUUGUUGUUAAUGCAUGGUAUUGUUUUUUUCCCCCAAUGAAGUAAACGUUAAAUUAACCCAAAAAAAUUAGUUAUCAGCUGACAUGUUCCUUUCACCAUCAACCACCUUCCAACAACAAGGUGGGAAUUUAUCAAAGUUAUUAAAACUCACUACGCUAUCCUUAGUAAAUCUAGCCAAAGAAAGUGCACAAUAAUUAGCUUCCCUAUAUGUAAGAUUCACUGGUAUUGUCUUUUUUUUUUUUUUAAGUUGCUUGUUCAAGGUCAGAUUCGUCUCUUUGCUGUUGCAAUAUUUUCCUGCAGACUGAUUAUAAAAUGAAAACAAAAGGUUGUAAGAUAUUCACAAGUGACUAAUGUGAUCUUUCAACCCAAUUCAAGUAUAUAUUGAAAAUAUAAUGCUAGUAUCUGAUGGAAACUGAGGUUUUCUCAUCUCAAUAACUGGCUUUUAGGGGGGAGUUUUCCAUCUUACCUGAGUGUUGGGCACAGAGUUUCCCACCUUACCCGAGUGUUGCAUGCCUCAAUCUCAUAUUGAGUAAUACAAGAUACUUUAUAUGGUAUUUAAGUGGAUUGUUUUCCUCUAUUCAAUAGCUAGCUUUUGAAAGAGGGUUUCCCCAUCUCAUUUUUGUAAUGAUCAGUAUCGAACAAGUUAUGGUCUGCUGACACAUGCAACAAAAUUGUUGUCAUUAUUUAUGAGAAAUAAAAGUUUCCCUUUUGAUUUUAGUUGUCUUUUUAAGAAAAUAAGGUGAAAGGAUCUUUCAGCAACCAUUGCCUGUAUGAUUUACAGUUACAUAAGAGCAUAGAGUGACUACCAUAGCAUACAUCAUAAUUAAUUCUUGAAGUUUCCUGAACUCUGCAUUGCGUGUAUUAACAUGGCAUGCAUUUUUGUACAAAAGAUAGUGAAUUUGUCUUUGGUUGUCAGCAUAUGACAAUAAACAUGGAAAAGUAAUUAGUUUAGUAGACACAUUUUGUUCCAUACUCAAAGAAAGUAUAUACUACAGAGUAUGUAAAAAUUUUUUUUUAAAAAAAGGACACUUAAAUGUGUAAAUCCUGUGGUAAUUUUUUUAAAUUGACCGGACUUUAUGCAGCUAAAUUAUUGCAGUGAUCCAAGUUUACCUUGAUGCAAAAUAUGCUUCAGACUUUGUGAAAUCGGUAUAACAGACCUGGAAGUGUUAUUCGGAUCAUCCCGUCCUAGGUCUUGGAAUAUGGUUGCUAUGUUAUCUGUAUGGAACUGGUGUUGGGUAGGGCUAAAACGGUCGACUGUUUUGUGGAGUAUCUAGGCUUUAGGUUUGGAUCCGAGUUUGGUCUUUGUGGUCCAUGUGGUUGAGCUAUUUAUUUGUGUCUGUUUGCUAUCAUGUACUGAAACAUUGUCUAGGCAGUGAAGUUUCCUUUCGUUUGGCCAAGAGAAAUUGCAUCAGCAGAUUCAGUUUUCAGGCAAUUGCAAUGGUGGCAUAUAGCCGAGACAAAAAGAUCCCAAAGAAGAUUUCAUCUAGGCGGUACUUUUUUAUAACGACUUGCUCGCAUUGUGCAAGUACCCACAAUCGUGGUCUUUUAAUGGAGAUAACGACGUGGGAUUGUGAAACUCAAAAUAAGGCUAAAACAGUGCGUCCGUGCACGAAGGAACCACGUGUUAAUUGGUAUGACGUUCUGAGUCUCCUAUAAAAUAAGCAGUCUUGUAUUGUACUGUGUUGCACACUUUUCUUCUUACUGAGGGAAGCUGUAUCCAGAGACCAGAGUGAGCUAUUGCUGUUCCGCUCCCAAGUUCCAUUCACGUGUUGAUUCACGUGCCCAUGUCUUAUCUUUUUCUUAAAAAAUGUCAAAUCCAAACUUACAAAGCAUAUGCAGAAGUAGUCGUUAAGUUAGGAGCCGUUUGGGAAAAAAGAAGACAAAGGAAGGCAAAAGAAGGGAGCAACAUUGUGGAAUUGAGUGGGAGUUUGUGAUCAAGCCCUUCCAAAGCGUAAAGGCACUUUCUAAUUUUUACUGUCCCCGCUUGUCGAUAUCUUUGAUCCCUUGUCUUUGUGCGUCGCUAUCGGAAUUGUCGACGAUGACAUCUAUAAAUGUGAUGGUUCUUGAGAGAACAACAUCCUACCUAGUUAUUAUUUAAAACAAGAAAGGGCGCGCGCUGUG